rnacentral:rRNA from 1 species
AAUGAACGCUAGCGGCAGGCUUAAUACAUGCAAGUCGAACGCGAAAGUCCUUCGGGAUGAGUAAAGUGGCGCACGGGUGAGUAAUACAUGGGAACAUGCCCUUGGAUGGGGAAUAACGUUUGGAAACGAACGCUAAUACCGCAUAAUCUCGCGAGAGUAAAGGUGGCGCCGCAAGGGCUACCGUCCAAGGAUUGGCCCAUGUCCCAUUAGCUAGUUGGCGGGGUAAUGGCCCACCAAGGCAACGAUGGGUAUGUGGUCUGAGAGGAUGAUCACACACACUGGAACUGAGACACGGUCCAGACUCCUACGGGAGGCAGCAGUAGGGAAUAUUGCACAAUGGGGGAAACCCUGAUGCAGCAACGCCGCGUGAGUGAAGAAGGCCCUUGGGUUGUAAAGCUCUUUAGCGUGGGAAGAAGGUAGAUAUGGUGAAUAAUCAUGUUUGCUGACGGUACCACGAGAAUAAGCACCGGCUAAUUUCGUGCCAGCCGCCGCAGUAAAAC